GUUCCUUCAGGGACAUCUGAUAAAAUUAAAAUGAUACAGAGAAAAUUAUCAUGACCCUUGCACAAGGAUAAUACGCACAAAUAGAGAACUUAUUUAUUGAU